UGUUAUUGCACACAUGUGGUAUGCUAUUAUUGGUAUUGAGUCAAUAUAUCGUGCAUUCCAGUCACAGAAUGCAUUUUGGGAGAUUCCUCUUGCGUGGGGGAGAGGUAGUACAGCAUCUCUGCAAAGCGUCAAAAGUAAAUUCCAGUGUUUUGUAUGCAUACACAAUGUAUUUACACUAUACGUUUCUUUUUGUGUCCAUCUGUGUGUGUGUGUGUGUGUGUGUGUGUGUGUGUGUGUGUGUGUGUGUGUUUUCACAGAUUUGCUUACUGUCAAAGGAAAGACAUGCAGAGGGACAGACGGAUGGACAGAUGGUGGGAUAAAGGUUCAAGAAAUGUACAGGUUAAGCAGACCCACACACGGUGCCAAAACAAAAUGGAGGGUUCGCAUACCUUAAUAUUCCG
rnacentral:lncRNA from 1 species